rnacentral:lncRNA from 1 species
ACCAUGAAGAGAUGGAUAAAGGCCAAAACCGUCAAAUUAUGGACAGUUUUGGCAAAAUUCUUAGGAUGUGGGCCAGGCAGAACACUAUUCAACUGCAGCAGCUCAACUACUUUAUGCCUCUUUAGCCCAUCUUGAGAAAUCUAGAACUAUGAAUUGCUGGUUCAUGAAACUGGAAUAGAAAACAGUGGACUUUGCUUAUCUGCACAGAAUCUUUGCUUGGGGGCAAGUGGGUGGCUUGUGAGUUUUUGCAUUUUUAAGAAAUAUUUUAUGAUGUGGAGUUUGCUAGACUAGUAAGGACACUAAGGGAAGGAAUCAAAACAUUGCUACAUUGCUACAUCCCUACAACUCUAAAGCGCACACAUUGCUACAUCCCACUCAUGUGCUGGGUGCUUUAGUUAAGUGCUUCAAACUCCAGGAUGAAAGAAUGAGUUUAUUUUCAUUUCCAGCUGACCACAGACUAAUGUUUGCUGAACUCUACAGCAAACAGAAUGCUAACCAUUUCUACAUGUGCCUCCCAAUAUCUUGUUCCAUCGCCAGUCAGUCCAUGGACCAUCCUCUGGGAGCAUGCCAUCUCCUUUCUUCCUGAACACUGGCCCUUGCUUAUUUUGGCAUGUGGACAGGGAACAGAUCAGCUGCUCUAAGAGAGCUGAGUACUCUGGAGGAGGUAGCAAGGAGGUAGUUUGGCUUUUUGUUUAUUUUAUACUGUCAUUGGCUAUGAGUGGACAACAAGGUAAAGGAAAAACAGUCAUUUUAAAAUGAUUGGUUAAUAUUGUUUCAUUAUAAAGGGCAGAGAGAACUAUGCAUCGGUAUAAAGUUUAAAUAACGGUUUUUGCUUUUUUGAGGAAAUGUAACAUUUCUCAGGGCAAAAGAACUGUUUUAGGGGUUGGCAAGAUGGCGCUUGCUGCCAUGCCUAACAGGUUGAGUUUGAUAUCUGGAACCCACAUGGUGGAAAAAGAGCACUGGCUCCCAGAAAUUGUAUGAUGUCUGCCUGCAUGUAUGUGGCAUGUAUGUGGCAUGUAUGUGGCAUGUAUGUACAUGUGCAUUGGCACGCUAAAAAAAGGAUACAGUGAAAAGAGAAUUGCUUUGAUUUUUUUUGUUUGUUUUUUUAUUUUUUGGGCCCCCCCCCCCAGACAGGGUUUCUCUGUACAGCCCUGGCUGUCCUGGAACUCACUUUGUAGACCAGGCUGGCCUCGAACUCAGAAAUCUGCCUGCCUCUGCCUCCCAAGUGCUGGGAUUAAAGGCGUGCGCCACCAUCACCCGGCUGAUGAUUUUUUAAAAAGAUUUAUUUAUUUUAUGUAUAUGAGCACACAGUAGCUGUUCAGAUGGUUGUGAGCCUUCAUGUGGUUGUUGGGAAUUGAAUUUUUGUAGGACCUUGCUCUGGUUGGCCCAGUUCACUCUGAUCAGCCCCGCUCGCUAAGUCCCUGCUCGCUCUGGCCCAAAGAUUUAUUAUUAUUAUUAUAAAUAAGUACUCUGUAGCUGUCUUCUGACGCACCAGAAGAGGUCGUCAGAUCUUAUUACAGAUGGUUGUGAGCCACCAUGUGGUUGCUGGGAUUUGAGCUCAGGACCUUUGGAAGAGUAGUCAGUGCUCUUACCUGCUGAACCAUCUCACCAGCCCUUGAUGAUGUUUUUUAAAAAACAAGUCGCAUCUCUAAUAAAACACAUCGACUUCACUGUUAAGCUUUGGACGAGAAGGAAGUUCUUGUCGUGAUCACCUGUUGGGUCAAAUGGUCCCAGACAUCCUGUCCCUUUUCCUGGCUGGUGUUAUCAACAUCUGACAGAGCCAGGUACCUUGAUAGCCAUCAGUGAGAAGGUGGAUUCAACCAGGGGGAAAACUUGAAGAGGGAAAGGGUACAGCUUAGUCCAUAAUUUAGUAUGUCUGGGCUCAGUCUAAGCCUAUGCCCCAGCUAUGCACAAAGCCAAGGCAGGAAGGCUGAAAGGUCAAGGCCUUCAGAGCUACUCUGGGCUACAGUGUGAGACCAGCCUGGGGAGUUUAGUGAGUCCUUCUCUCAAUAGUAAGAAAAGUCUAGAGAUGUAAUUUAGAGAUAGGGUUACCAUGGGCAAGGCCCUAAGUUCAAUCCUCAUUAUU